rnacentral:lncRNA from 1 species
UUAAAACUUAAAUCUCAUGACAGAGAAUGUGAAUCAUUAAUUUAUGAUGGAUUUUGAAGAAACGCACCAAAUUUAAAUUAGUCGUUAAAAUUUUCAAUUAAUUACUAAAAGCCUUGUAAAACGACGUCACUUGGUCCGCGACAUAUGUGUGGACCAAGCAACAUAUGCGUGGUAGAUAUAAGUUGUCGCAGGAACAUGUGAUAGCAGUGCCACAAAUUUAUCUCAGAGGCUACAAUGACAUAUAAAGAUUUUUUCAUAAAAGGGGUCAAAUGAUAGAUAUUCCGCACGAGAGAGGCUUCCAUCACCAACGCCACUUUCUGUUGCACUAGCCACCCACCACAACGAUACACUAUUAAAAUUUUACAUUUUAUUGAAUUCAAUUAGUCAUUUUGAAUUUCUUAUUAUAAUGCCAAAUUAGAACCCAACAAUUUCAACAGAUCAAAAUGAUGCUUCUCGUGUACUUAUACCUUAGAGAUCAGUUUAUUUUUUGUUUUUUUUUUUUUUACGAAUAGGCUUUCUUACUGUUUUUCUAUUGUCUUUGAGUGAAUCUGCAUUCUUGCAUUUGUUGAAAUUUCAUUGGAUGACACUUCAAUUUAAUCUCUUGCACUUGGAGAGAAUUAAAAUUGCUUUGAUAGGAACAUAAAUUUCAUCCUCCAUAAUUUGAAUUUGAAAUAACAAUAAAUUAAAGAACGAUGUUAAUUUCGAUCUAAAGAAGCAAAUAUGUUUUAGCAUUUUAUUCAUCACUAAACUAGUAGAAUGACAUGACACGAAUUGGGUCGGGCCUGAAGUUCAAAGGACUGAGCCUGUUUAUGACUCAGACCUUUUCUUCUGGUUACAAGGUUGGGUUCAGGCUUUGCGAAGCCCGAGCCCAACCCAGCCCGUUACCAUCCCUCUGCAUGUUUAAAUUCAGCCCAGCUUAACAUCAAUUUUUAGGAAUGAUGGGAAAUUGGUAAAAUACAAGAUGACAGAAUAGCAUUGAAAAUCUCUUCGCAUGAAAUAAAGCAACAAUGAAAUAUUAGGCGCACAGUAUGGACUUCCACUCUUCUUUCUAUUCCAAAACAAAAAUAGCCAAACCAACUUCAGUUUAAUGGUAUGGCUAUGAUAUAAUGGCAUUGGCCAAACCAACUUCAGUGGACAUAGACUUUCGCUAGAUCCUCACGCUUUCUCUAAUUAUAAACAUAAGUAUAUAUAAGGAAUAUAAAGUAAAAAAAAUUAGUAAAAGAUUAAAAAAAUAUAAAAUCUUAUGCAAUUUACUUUGUAGUUUAUUAAAAUAUGCAUUUUUUUCUUUUAUCUUGUCUUAUAUUUUAUAUGGAAAAAUGAUCUAGUGAGCACUAGUGCCUACCAUGUGGUAAGCGCUAAUUACAUGGCAGAAUUAUGUGACUCCUUAUAAAUAGUAUUAAAAUGGUAGAUUUCCAUGACAGUGCUGCAUAACACUAUCAUCCAUUAGAUCAUUACUAUACAUAUAUGCAGAUUUAAGAUGUAAUAAGGGAUCAUGUACUUUAGUUUUGAGCCAUUGGAUUUGAAUUCAAUAUUUCAAUGACCUAUUAUUUUUUAUUUUAAAAUCUACACAUGAUAGGGUCAACUAAGUGCAGAUUUUAUAACCCAUUGGAUUUGAAGAGUGCAGGAACUUACAUUCUUCUCUCUUUCAUGCAUUAUUUCCUCUCAUGCAGCUUUACACUCUUUAGAUUUUCACUACUUCUGCUUAGUCGAAACGUGGCCAUUCGAUUUCCACCAGACUUUGUCAUACAUGGAUUCUGGCCAAUUAACUCUACCGGAUUGGGACAACCAUAAAGAAUAAUUCAAUGCCAAUAUUAAUGAAACUGAAUUUGUAUUCUUUAUUCCCUCUGUUUUUUCUUUUUCCUUUUUUUUAAAGUUUUAUUGGCCAAUAGUCUUUUAUUUCAUUUGUUAAUUUUUUUCUAUUUCGCUUAUUAUAUCAUUCUUAUUGCAUAUUUACAAUAGGUUGGAGAUCAAAUUAUGCUUAAGAUAUGAAAACCUACUAGCCAAAUCUGGGAAAUUAAACUUAUAUAUACAAUGUGUUUUUCGGCGCAGUCAGUGGGAAGGACAUGGCAGUGGCUAAACUUUAUUCGGAAAUUGGAUGGAUUAUAUUAGGAAUAUCAUUGUGUGGAUAUCAAUUUAUAUAUUUGUAUGUUGGCGUCCUCAUUGGACACAUCAUUGAGGUGGCGUUUAUUUUUUAACUUAAUGACUUAAAGUGACUUAACUUAAUUAAUUAAGUUAAUUAGAGGUGUUUGUAUUUAUAAUUUAACUAGAAAAUAGAACCGCGCUUCACGCGGUUUUGAAAAAAGAAUUUAGUAUUAUCAUUUUUUCUUACUUUACACUUGAUGAAACUGAUAAAAAAUAUGAAUUGAUUUUUUUUAAGAUGAGGCAGCCUUAUAAAAAAUAAAAAAAGCUAUUAGCUAGCAAUACAAAUAAAGAAGUAACGCAAGAUAAAAAAUAAAAUGAAAGAAUAUAUUAUAGAGUGAUUUUAUUCAUUCCAAUUGUGUGUGUACAAAACAAAAAGAUGAGCUCUCCUUUUAUAGUUACGUAAUCACUCCAUGAAAUUAAUGAAAAAUUAUGGAUCAUAAUUUCUUGUGAGAUAGUGGGAGUUCUAGGGAAGCUAAAGAUUGCUAAUGGGAGAUAGUGUGGAGACUAAGAGAUAUAUGUAAUGAACAUCUACAUUUAUUUUAAUCAAUUCAUAACACUCCCCUUGGAUGUUCAUUACAAAGAAUAUGCCUCAUUAAAAUCUUUACAUAAUUGUUAUUGUGUAAUAACAAUCAAAUUAAUUAUGAGAAGAUGAAAAGCCAAAUCUAAAAGAAAAUUUCUCUAUUUAGUAGAUAAUAGAGAAUAUACAAAGAUGAGAAAUUGUGAUGCCACAUCACCUCCUCAAGUCCCAGCUUUAUAUAUAUACUAGAAAAUAGAACCGCGCUUCACGCGACUUUGAAAAAAGAAUUUAGUAUUAUCCUUUUUUCUUACUUUACAUUUGAUGAAACUGAUAGAAAAUAUGAAUUGAUUUUUUUAAAGAUGAGGUAGCCUUAUAAAAAAUAAAAAUAAAAAGCUAUUAGCCAGCAAUACAAAUAAAGAAGCAACGCAAGACAAAGAAUAAAAUGAGAGAAUAUAUUAUAGAGUGAUUUUAUUCAUUCCAAUUGUGUGUGUACAAAACAAAAAGAUAAGCUCUCCUUUUAUAGUUACAUAAUCACUCCAUGAAAUUAAUGAAAAUUUAUGGAUCAUAAUUCUUUGUGAGAUAGUGGGAGUUAUAGGGAAGCUAAAUGUUGCUAAUAGGAGAUAGUGGGGAGACUAAGAGAUAUAUGUUAUGAACAUCUACAUUUAUUUUAAUAAAUUCAUAACACUUCCCCUUGGAUGUUCAUUGCAAAGAAUAUGUCUCAUUAAAAUCUUUACAUAAUUGUUAUUUUGUAAUAACAAUCAAAUUAAUUAUGAGAAGAUGAAAAGUCAAAUCAAAAAAAAAAAUCUCUAUUUAUUAGAUAAUAGAGAACAUACAAAGAAGCAAAAUGGUGAUGCCACAUCACCUCCUCAAAUCCUAGCUUUAUAUAUAUAUAUAUAUAUAUAUAGAUAUAUAGAUGAGACUUUUUAGAUAAUUUUGACUUAAUAAAAUAAGCCAAUUUUUUUGGCUUUUUACUUAAUAGAGAAAUUUGAAUUAAGUCAAUUACUUACUAAUGUAAAAAAUAUCCAUGUUUUAUAAUUUAUUUUUCAUGUUUAUCCCAAAACUCACCCAUAGACAUUUACCCCACAUAAAAAUAUCUCUGUUUUUUCUUUCUUAUAUUAUAUACAAUAAAUUUUAAAAUUUAUGGUAUUUUAUAUAUUAAAAUUCUAAAAAAUUAUGUAUUCACUUGAAUAUAGUUUUACUUAUAAAUGUUAAAAUAUUCUGGUAUUUAAUAUAUUAUUUAUUUGACAUUCAAAUUUAAUAAGGAUACAAAUGUAAAAGUACAUAUUUUCAGCUUUUUCAGUUGAAAAAAAAUAAACAACUUAAUACUUAUUUUCCGAGAUUCAGACGAAAAAACAAACAUAUUAUUCAGAUUCAGACAUUCAGAUCUAUUUAGAAUUCAGACUAAUUCAGGGUUAUUCAGAUUUCAGACAAAAAAACAAACGCCACCUGAGUCUUCAUCAAUAAUAUAAUACCAAUUUCAUUUAGAUUAUGCAAAGUGUAACAACAUGGGAUUGGAAAAAAAACAGAUAUAGGUAAAUUAGGGUUUUAUGCAUUAUAUGUAUAUGAAGUCCAGAUGAGUGUGUAGAGAGAUAUUUUAGCAUGAGGGAAACGCACAAUGCGAGAAGAUAUGAUGAAGUUGGGGUGAAUCAUAAUAGUGACACAAGAUCUGGGCAUUGCUUCAUAUAGGGACCAGAAGAUCAAAGUAAAUAAAGAUAAAUCAAUCUCUACAUGGAAGUUAUCAAUCAAAUUCAAACAAACAAUAUCUUAGGGACAUCAUACUAAUGUAGGAGUCAUUCUUGAAGAUCAAUAUGGAGUUGAUUUGAUUUAUCACGAUUAUAAAGAGAUAUUGAAGAGAUAAUAUUCAUAUAUUAUCAUGAAGAAUUUCUUAUAUAUCUGAAGGCUUAAAGGAUGAAGAUUUGAGAAGAUUGGACUUUUCAUACACAUAUUCAUCUAGCACUAUAUAAAGGCGAAUCAUUUACAUAUUUUGAUAGAAGCCACACACAUUCAUCUUUGUUAAGCCUCCUAGUGAGAUUUUGGAACUUAUGUGUGGCUUUAUGUCUUCUCUUUGUUAUUCUAUCUAUCAGACUUUUACGAGAAGAGGUUGUGUUUGUGUUCAAAUUUUACUUUUCUUUAGUGGUUUUGAUUACUUGGUGAUUUUUUCAACCAGUGUUUGCAGAAGCGAAGGUUGUUCGAGUAAUAGAAUGAUUCUACAUCAAAUGCUAUAACCUUAGAAUCAUUCUUUGAUUUGGGAGAUGUUGUUUAUGAUCUUUCUAGGAGAAGGUGAUGAUUUUCCAAAUAAAUCAUGCAAUUUAUUUAUUUAACCAACUCCAUACCUUAUUCGUUGAUGCGGAAACAAAUCGUCACGAAUCUACAAGAAUAAAAUAAGCUCCCUCCAAUCUCCAAAAACCAGGAACUAGCACGAGCAGAUCGCAACGAAUAGGAAUCGAUUGCUAGAAACUGGAACCUUCACGAGCAAAUCUCCUUCAUGAACAAGCCACCUUCACGAAUGGAUCAUCACGAGUUUAUGUCACUGAUGAUCGGAGGACAAUCACAUAUUUGGAAAAUCUCAUCAAUUCACGAAGCAAGAACCCACUGCCUAUUUCCCUUUUCUCUCACUCUCUUUUGGUGUUACUCUGAUUCUUAUGAUUAUUAUUGUGUGUGCUUUCACUCACCCAUGUAGUGUUUGUAUAGUACAAUAAGUGUAGUUUAAUCCAAAUCAACUUCCUAGAGUUAUUUGAUUAAACUACAUCUUAUGUGAUUAUGAUUAAGAUAAAAUACUAAUUUUAUCUUGUAUAAAUCCUAGAUAAAUUCUAAGUCUAUCUUAUCACUUAUGUUAGAUUAAUCCAUCCCAUUAUGGGCGUUAAAUCUAACAGAAAGGAUUGUGUGUUGAUAGUAUAAGAAUUCUACAUAGAGGUGACAUACCAUUGACUAGAAGUAUUGCUCGGUAGACGAAGCAAAACGAUGUGUGGUGUAAGUGAAGUAUUCACUUAGUGAGGUUACAACAAGGUAGUGGCAAUUAUUGAGAGGGAGUCUCAUUGUAUAAGGUUUCAAUAGUUUGUAAUCUCUUGAAUUUAGUAAAUUACUAGAUAUUUGAGCAUGGCUUCUUAGAUUUAGGGAUUUGAACACUGAACCGCAUAAAAAUCCUAAUGUAUGCUUUUUUUUUACAUACUUUAUUUUUAAGCAUUAAAUUUAUUUAAUUAAUUUUUAAUUGAAAUUGAUAAGGCUACUAAAAUUGGAUCUAUUAGAUUAUUUAUAAAUGGUUAUCCGUUUAAUCGUUUAUGAAAAAAUAUUCACACACUGAAUUGGCUAACCAAAAGGAUAUAAAGUAGAAUGGAACAAUAUACAACAACGCUGAUUAUAAGAACGCAAUAAAGAAGAUACAUGGUUAUAUUCACCUAGUUAGGUGCUUUUUUUUAAAAUGGCAUAUAUCUGCUAAAGAAAGUGCUUACAUGCGUCAAUGCUAAAAAACAAAAUCAUAUUUCUAACUUUAUGUUACAUAACUAGAUAAAAUAUUCAAAAAAAUAGAAAAAUAGAUUAAAAAAUAUGUGAAAAGGACCUUACAAUCUCUAAACAAUCUCUAUUUUUCAAAUAUAUAUUUUAUUUGUCCUAUUAUCCCAUCUUUGUUAACCAUGUCCCUAGCCUACAUUAUGUCCUAAUAAAAGUCCUUAUUGAUUUUAGGGACUAUAAUCUGAAGUAAAAGCUGAUAAUUGGAUUAAAAGAUGUGGUGAUGCAUAAAAAUGAAUACAAAUAAUAUUAUUGAUUUGACUAGUAGUUGCUUUGACUUAAGAUCAUAUUAUUUUUUAGCUAUGGGCAUUAUUCUUUCAUAUUAGUGAGAGUGUGCAAUAUUAUUUUCUCUCAAUUUACUAUUCCUUGGAGUGACUCUUUUUAUUGAUGUUUAUUUUCUUUUGAAAGUGUCACUUUUACUCAUGGGAUUUUGGAGUUUGACAUUUCAUUCUUGAAAGUGGUUUGAUUAAAUGUAACUUUAAUAAUUAUUCAUUUUGCAUGAGUUUACUUGACUGAAUUAUGUGAAUGGUUGAUGUGGGAUUAAUAUUUUUUAGGUCAAAGAUAAUACUCAUACUUUUAUUUGAUUGUUGUCAUCUGAUUAAAGAAGUAAAUAAAAUUGUCCUAAAAAAAUAAAUAAAAUAUUUCAAUUUGCAUUUGAAUUUCACUUGAUAAUAUCGCUUUAAUUGCUAGACACUAGCAAUAAGUUGAUUGGGGGAUAUGAUCAACACUUGAAAAUGUACAUUUAAUAAGGUUAAAACUAUUAUUUUUCCACUUAUAGUGUUGAUUAAUGCGCUCAUAACUUAUAAAUUUUCUUAAUGCUCCUCUAAUU